rnacentral:lncRNA from 1 species
GGGCUGAAUCCAAACUUCUGCAUUGAAGAUGUUGGUAAGGAAGAAAGUGGCUCCGCUCAAUUCCUUAUGCACCGGAUGAAAACUGCCCUCUUUAAGCCUUAAUUUUGGCAGCCCAUCAUAGGCCCAAGAGUGGUAUGAGAAGUCUACUGCCAUAGAUGAUAUGUGAGUGCCAAGUAUGGUCAUGGAGUUAUGAUGUAAAGGAUUAGAUACUAUCAAAACGUUCUUUUGGACUUGCAUUAUAUACCAAGGCCUGCAGAAACUGGACCUGGAUAGGGGACUGGUACGUUUUCUUUAUCUUUUAUUUGGUUCAACUUUCGAUAUAAAUUUUGCUCAAGA